rnacentral:rRNA from 1 species
GAGUUUGAUCAUGGCUCANCNUUUNACGCUGGCGGCAGGCCUAACACAUGCAAGUCGAACGGUAACAGGAUGUGCUUGCACAUCGCUGACGAGUGGCGGACGGGUGAGUAAUGCUUGGGAACUUGCCUUUGCGAGGGGGAUAACAGUUGGAAACGACUGCUAAUACCGCAUAAUGUCUUCGGACCAAACGGGGCUUCGGCUCCGGCGCAGAGAGAGGCCCAAGUGAGAUUAGCUAGUUGGUGAGGUAAAGGCUCACCAAGGCGACGAUCUCUAGCUGUUCUGAGAGGAAGAUCAGCCACACUGGGACUGAGACACGGCCCAGACUCCUACGGGAGGCAGCAGUGGGGAAUAUUGCACAAUGGGGGAAACCCUGAUGCAGCCAUGCCGCGUGUGUGAAGAAGGCCUUCGGGUUGUAAAGCACUUUCAGUUGUGAGGAAAAGUUAGUAGUUAAUACCUGCUAGCCGUGACGUUAACAACAGAAGAAGCACCGGCUAACUCCGUGCCAGCAGCCGCGGUAAUACGGAGGGUGCGAGCGUUAAUCGGAAUUACUGGGCGUAAAGCGCACGCAGGCGGUUUGUUAAGCUAGAUGUGAAAGCCCCGGGCUCAACCUGGGAUGGUCAUUUAGAACUGGCAGACUAGAGUCUUGGAGAGGGGAGUGGAAUUCCAGGUGUAGCAGUGAAAUGCGUAGAUAUCUGGAGGAACAUCAGUGGCGAAGGCGACUCCCUGGCCAAAGACUGACGCUCAUGUGCGAAAGUGUGGGUAGCGAACAGGAUUAGAUACCCUGGUAGUCCACACCGUAAACGCUGUCUACUAGCUGUUUGUGAUUUUNAAAUCGUGAGUAGCGAAGCUAACGCGCUAAGUAGACCGCCCUGGGGAGUACGGCCGCAAAGGUUAAAACUCNAAUGAAUUGACGGGGGGCCCNCACAANCGGGNGGAGCAUGUGGUUUAAUUCGAUGC